rnacentral:rRNA from 1 species
GGUGCAUGGUUGUCGUCAGCUCGUGUCGUGAGAUGUUGGGUUAAGUCCCGCAACGAGCGCAACCCUCGACCUUAGUUGCCAGCAUUCAGUUGGGCACUCUAAGGUGACUGCCGGCUAAAGUCGGAGGAAGGUGGGGAUGACGUCAAAUCAUCAUCGCCCCUUAUGACCUGGGCUACACACGUGCUACAAUGGGCGGUACAAAGGGUCGCGAACCCGCGAGGGGGAGCCAAUCCCAAAAAGCCGCUCUCAGUUCGGAUUGCAGGCUGCAACUCGCCUGCAUGAAGCCGGAAUCGCUAGUAAUCGCGGAUCAGCAUGCCGCGGUGAAUACGUUCCCGGGCCUU